UAAUACGUAGGUGGCAAGCGUUGUCCGGAUUUACUGGGCGUAAAGGGCGCGCAGGCGGCCCGUCAAGUCUAGGGUGAAAGCUCCCGGCUUAACCGGGAGAGGUCUCUGGAUACUGGCAGGCUUGAGGGAAGCAGAGGAGAGCGGAAUUCCCGGUGGAGCGGUGAUAUGCGUAGAUAUCGGGAGGAACACCAGUGGCGAAGGCGGCUCUCUGGGCUUUUCCUGACGCUGAGGCGCGAAAGCGUGGGGAGCGAACCGGAUUAGAUACCCGGGUAGUCCACGCCGUAAACGUUGGGCACUAGGUGUGGGAGGUAUUGACCCCUUCCGUGCCGUAGUUAACGCGAUAAGUGCCCCGCCUGGGGAGUACGGCCGCAAGGCUA
rnacentral:rRNA from 1 species